rnacentral:rRNA from 1 species
UACGGAGGGUGCAAGCGUUAAUCGGAAUUACUGGGCGUAAAGCGUGCGCAGGCGGUUUGUUAAGUCCGUUGUGAAAGCCCCGAGCUCAACUUGGGAAUUGCAGUGGAUACUGGCAGGCUGGAGUACGGUAGAGGAAGGUGGAAUUCCCGGUGUAGCAGUGAAAUGCGUAGAUAUCGGGAGGAACACCAGUGGCGAAGGCGGCCUGCUGGACCAGUACUGACGCUCAUGCACGAAAGCGUGGGGAGCAAACAGG